ACUGCUCAGUAACACGUGGUCAAUCUACCGCGAAGUGGCGAAUACCCUCGGGAAACUGAGGUUAAAACGCCAUAGGCUACGGCACCUGGAAGGAGCUGUAGCCCAAAGGUGUGCAAAUUGUAGCACUUUCGCUUCGCGAUGAGACUGCGGCGGAUCAGGCAGAUGGCGGGGUAACGGCCCACCAUACCGAUAACCUGUAGGGGAUGUGAGAGCAUAGGCCCCGAGAAGGGCACUGAGACAAGGGCCCUAGUGCUACGGCAUGCAGCAGGCGCGCAAACUCCACACUGCACGUAAGUGUGAUGGGGGGAAUCUGAGCGGUUCACUUCGGUGAACCUUUUGCCAAGUGUAACACGCUUGGCGAAUAAGUGCCGGGCAAGACCGGUGGCAGCCGCCACGGUAAUACCGGCGGCACAAGUGGUGUCCACGAUUAUUGGGCUUAAAGCGCUCGUAGCUGGCCAGAACCGUCUGAUGUGAAAUAUUGGUGCUCAACACCAAUGCGUGCAUCAGAUACCUUCUGGCUAGGGAGUGGGUGAGGUAAGGAGUACUUAUGGGGAAGGGGUAAAAUCCUAUAAUCCUGUAAGGACUAACGGUGGCGAAGGCGCCUUACUAGAACACAUCCGACAGUGAGGAGCGAAGGCUAGGAGAACGAAUCGGAUUAGAUACCCGAGUAGCCCUAGCAGUAAAUUAUGCAGACUCUGAUGUUGCAAAUAUCUUGGAUGUUUGCAGUACCGUAGAGUAAUUGUUAAGUCUGCCGCCUGGGGAGUACGGCCGCAAGGUUGAAACUUAAAGGAAUUGGCGGGGGAGCAC
rnacentral:rRNA from 1 species